rnacentral:rRNA from 1 species
GACGGGUAGCCGGCCUGAGAGGGCGACCGGCCACAUUGGGACUGAGAUACGGCCCAGACUCCUACGGGAGGCAGCAGUGGGGAAUAUUGCACAAUGGGCGCAAGCCUGAUGCAGCGACGCCGCGUGAGGGAUGGAGGCCUUCGGGUUGUAAACCUCUUUUGUUAGGGAGCAAGGCACUUUGUGUUGAGUGUACCUUUCGAAUAAGCACCGGCUAACUACGUGCCAGCAGCCGCGGUAAUACGUAGGGUGCAAGCGUUAUCCGGAAUUAUUGGGCGUAAAGGGCUCGUAGGCGGUUCGUCGCGUCCGGUGUGAAAGUCCAUCGCUUAACGGUGGAUCCGCGCCGGGUACGGGCGGGCUUGAGUGCGGUAGGGGAGACUGGAAUUCCCGGUGUAACGGUGGAAUGUGUAGAUAUCGGGAAGAACACCAAUGGCGAAGGCAGGUCUCUGGGCCGUUACUGACGCUGAGGAGCGAAAGCGUGGGGAGCGAACAGGAUUAGAUACCCUGGUAGUCCACGCCGUAAACGGUGGAUGCUGGAUGUGGGGCCCGUUCCACGGGUUCCGUGUCGGAGCUAACGCGUUAAGCAUCCCGCCUGGGGAGUACGGCCGCAAGGCUAAAACUCAAAGAAAUUGACGGGGGCCCGCACAAGCGGCGGAGCAUGCGGAUUAAUUCGAUGCAACGCGAAGAACCUUACCUGGGCUUGACAUGUUCCCGACGAUCCCAGAGAUGGGGUUUCCCUUCGGGGCGGGUUCACAGGUGGUGCAUGGUCGUCGUCAGCUCGUGUCGUGAGAUGUUGGGUUAAGUCCCGCAACGAGCGCAACCCUCGCCCCGUGUUGCCAGCGGAUUGUGCCGGGAACUCACGGGGGACCGCCGGGGUUAACUCGGAGGAAGGUGGGGAUGACGUCAGAUCAUCAUGCCCCUUACGUCCAGGGCUUCACGCAUGCUACAAUGGCCGGUACAACGGGAUGCGACAGUGCGAGCUGGAGCGGAUCCCUGAAAACCGGUCUCAGUUCGGAUCGCAGUCUGCAACUCGACUGCGUGAAGGCGGAGUCGCUAGUAAUCGCGAAUCAGCAACGUCGCGGUGAAUGCGUUCCCGGGCCUUGUACACACCGCCCGUCAAGUCAUGAAAGUGGGCAGCACCCGAAGCCGGUGGCCUAACCCCUUGCGGGAGGGAGCCGUCUAAGGUGAGGCUCGUGAUUGGGACUAAGUCGUAACAAGGUAGCCGUACCGGAAGGUGCGGCUGGAUCACCUCCUUU